CAGUCGCCGCGGUAAUACGAAGGGUGCAAGCGUUAAUCGGAAUUACUGGGCGUAAAGCGUGCGUAGGCGGUGAGUUAAGUCUGCUGUGAAAUCCCCGGGCUCAACCUGGGAAUGGCAAUGGAUACUGGCAAGCUAGAGUGUGUCAGAGGAUGGUGGAAUUUCCGGUGUACCAGUGAAAUGCGUAGAGAUCGGAAGGAACAUCUGUGGCGAAGGCGACUAUCUGGGCCAACACUGACACUGAGGCACGAAAGCGUGGGGAGCAAACAGGAUUAGAUACCCCGGUAGUCCCUGUCUCUUAUAC
rnacentral:rRNA from 1 species